GCCAUCGGCCAUACCGUGCUGAAUACGCCGGUUCUCGUCCGAUCACCGCAGCUUAGCAGCAUUGGGCUCGGCCAGUAACUGGGAGGUAGACUGUGUGCACGGUGGUG
rnacentral:rRNA from 1 species